rnacentral:ncRNA from 2 species
AUAAAUUUGCCAUGCAUUGGUUUAUUUUUUCCAAGCAUACGGAAAUAAUAAUUAAAAGGGAAUCAGGUGGGAAUCCUGAACAGUCCCGUUGCUGUGUGUUUCAUUAAAAUGUAGUAAAUACAUACUUCAUGCCACUGAAAGACCAAAAGUCGAUUGGGAAGGCGUUUACUAUAGAAACAAGUCAGAAGACCUGCCAUGCAAUAUGUUCAAUA